rnacentral:rRNA from 1 species
CUUCUCUCUCUGGCUGUUACUCGAGGUUGGUUUCUUCGUCAGCUUGAUGUUCAAAAUGCUUUUCUUCAUGGUGUCUUGGCGGAGGAGGUUUACAUGCGUCAGCCUCCGGGUUUCUCUGAUCCGGAUCGCCCUGAUCAUCUCUGUCGUCUGUCCAAGGCAAUUUAUGGUCUGAAGCAGGCUCCUCGUGCUUGGCAUGCUCGUCUUGCAAUGGCUCUUCGUGCUCAUGGUUUUACAUCAUCAACUGCUGACUCCUCAUUGUUUCUUCUUCAAAGGCCUGAGGUUACUAUGUACUUGUUGGUCUAUGUAGAUGAUAUCAUUUUGGUCAGCUCCUCUCAGUCGGCUGCUACUGCGCUUGUUCGCUCACUUGGUGCUGAUUUUGCGGUCAAGGACCUUGGGAAGCUUCAUUACUUUCUUGGUGUGGAGGUUACUUCUCGUGUUGCUGGCCUUGUUAUGACGCAGAAGAAGUACUCUCUGGAUUUGUUGCAGCGAGCUGGGAUGCUUAAGUGCAAACCGACGACUACACCCAUGUCUACC